rnacentral:ncRNA from 1 species
AUCGGGGUGCGCGGAGACAAAGGGUCUCCGCUGCUGAGAUCAAACCCGUAGACCUGAUCCGGGCAAUACCGGCGCAGGGAAAUUCAA